rnacentral:rRNA from 1 species
UACGGAGGGGGCAAGCGUUGUUCGGAAUUACUGGGCGUAAAGGGCGCGUAGGCGGCCUUGUAAGUCAAAGGUGAAAUCCCUCGGCUCAACUGAGGAACUGCCUUUGAAACUGCAAGGCUUGAGGCCGGGAGGGGGUAGCGGAAUUCCCAAUGUAGCGGUGAAAUGCGUAGAUAUUCGGAAGAACACCAGUGGCGAAGGCGGCUCACUGGACUGGUAUUGACGCUGAGGUGCGAAAGCGUGGGGAGCAAACAGG